rnacentral:rRNA from 1 species
AGUGAACGCUGGCGGCGUGCUUAACACAUGCAAGUCGAACGAAGAUAAUUUAUUAUCUUAGUGGCAAACGGGUGAGUAAUGCAUGGGAAUCUGCCUUAUAGUGGGGGACAACAGUUGGAAACGACUGCUAAUACCGCAUACACCAUUUAUGGGAAAGUCGCAAGACGCUAUUUGAUGAGCCCAUGUCUGAUUAGCUUGUUGGUAAGGUAAAAGCUUACCAAGGCGAUGAUCAGUAGCUGGUCUGAGAGGAUGAUCGGCCACACUGGGACUGAGACACGGCCCAGACUCCUACGGGAGGCAGCAGUGGGGAAUAUUGGGCAAUGGGCGAAAGCCUGACCCAGCAACGUCGCGUGGGGGAUGAAAGCCUUAGGGUUGUAAACUCCUUUUAUCAGGGAAGAUAAUGACGGUACCUGAUGAAUAAGCAUCGGCUAACUUCG